GAACCAGCCUCUUGAGAGGAAAAGAGGUUGCCUUUCACUUUCACACUGAAAAGCUCCUGGCUCUGUUAUUUCCUGACCCUUGUGGAGGGAUGACUCCCCAUGCCCCUGAGAUCUUAUGCACAGACUGAUCUUUAAUCCGGUACAGUCUGGUUUCUCCCGCUUAACAUGGCUGGUGCCUCCCUCCCCCGCCUCCCUCACUGGUGCCUCCUUGCUAUGUAGUGUUGAGGGAAAGAGGUGACUCAGCCUGCUUGUGCACAACUGGGUCCCCAUGGUCCCUACAACUUGGGUGGGGCAGGAUCCCCAAUUCUCCCAUCGCUUUUCCCCACCCCCAGGUAUGUUGCAAAUGGCCUGACCCUCCCCCUCUACAUGGGGAGCCAGUGUGGCUAGAUUCCUGGGUGGAUCCACACUUUUAGGAGAUGGAAUCGUAGGGAAAGUCCCUUCCAGGGGCUGUCCAUCAGGCACUGUGGGAACCAGCCCAGGGACAAGGCCUUAGGCCCUACUGGCAGAGGGCCAUGGUCUGAGUCGUGCAGUUGCCCAGCAAGGCCAAGCAGGACUAGACUGUGGCUCACUUCUUACUUCUGCUCUGGCCUGGCUGACUACAGACCAGCUACUCUGAGCUAACCUUGCCCUUCCCUGCCAGCCAUGGGAACAAAGAAGUCUUCUCCUGCCGGGGCAUUUUGCUGGCUGUGAACUGGUUUCUGGAGCGGGGCCAUACAGACAUCACCGUGUUUGUGCCAUCGUGGAGGAAGGAACAGCCUCGGCCAGAUGUGCCUAUCACAGACCAGCACAUUCUGCGGGAACUAGAGAAAAAGAAGAUCCUGGUGUUCACGCCAUCCAGGCGGGUCGGUGGCAAGCGUGUAGUGUGCUACGAUGACCGAUUCAUUGUGAAGCUGGCCUAUGAAUCCGACGGAGUGGUGGUGUCCAAUGACACAUACCGGGACCUCCAAGGCGAGAGGCAGGAGUGGAAGCGCUUCAUCGAGGAGAGGCUGCUCAUGUACUCCUUCGUCAAUGACAAGUUCAUGCCCCCUGACGACCCUUUAGGACGCCACGGG
rnacentral:lncRNA from 1 species